rnacentral:rRNA from 1 species
UACGUAGGGUGCGAGCGUUGUCCGGAAUUAUUGGGCGUAAAGAGCUCGUAGGCGGUGUGUCACGUCGGCCGUGAAAACCUGCAGCUUAACUGUGGGCGUGCGGUCGAUACGGGCAUCACUGGAGUUCGGCAGGGGAGACUGGAAUUCCUGGUGUAGCGAUGGAAUGCGCAGAUAUCAGGAGGAACACCGGUGGCGAAGGCGGGUCUCUGGGCAGUAACUGACGCUGAGGAGCGAAAGCGUGGGGAGCGAACAGG